AACGAACGCUGGCGGCAUGCCUAACACAUGCAAGUCGAACGAGACCUUCGGGUCUAGUGGCGCACGGGUGCGUAACGCGUGGGAACCGGCCCUUAGGUUCGGAAUAACUCCCCGAAAGGGGUGCUAAUACCGGAUAAUGUCUUCGGACCAAAGAUUUAUCGCCUUUGGAUGGGCCCGCGUUGGAUUAGCUAGUUGGUAGGGUAAAAGCCUAUCAAGGCGACGAUCCAUAGCUGGUCUGAGAGGAUGAUCAGCCACACUGGGACUGAGACACGGCCCAGACUCCUACGCGAGGCAGCAGUGGCGAAUAUUGGACCAUGGGCGAAAGCCUGAUCCAGCACUGCCGCGUGAGUGAUGAAGGCCUUAGGGUUGUAAAGCUCUUUUACCCGGGAUGAUAAUGACAGUACCGGGAGAAUAAGCUCCGGCUAACUCCGUG
rnacentral:rRNA from 1 species